rnacentral:rRNA from 1 species
AGGGCACCACCAGGAGUGGAGCCUGCGGCUUAAUUUGACUCAACACGGGUAAACUCGCCCGGCCCGGACACCGUAAGGAUUGACAGAUUGAGAGCUCUUUCUUGAUUCGGUGGUUGGUGGUGCAUGGCCGUUCUUAGUUGGUGGAGCGAUUUGUCUGGUUUAUUCCGAUAACGAACGAGACUCUGGCCUACUAAAUAGAGACAGGAUUAUUACUGUCCUGGAUUCUUCUUAGAGGGACAAGUGGUUUUCAGCCACACGAAAUUGAGCAAUAACAGGUCUGUGAUGCCCUUAGAUGUCCGGGGCUGCACGCGCGCUACACUGAAGGAAUCAGCGUGCUAAAACCAUUGUCGAAAGGCAUUGGUAAACCCCUCAAAAUCCUACGUGGUUGGGAUCGGGAAUUGCAAUUAUUUCCCUUGAACGAGGAAUUCCCAGUAAGUGUGGGUCAUAAGCUCGCGUUGAUUACGUCCCUGCCCUUUGUACACACCGCCCGUCGCUGCCCGGGACUGAGCCGUUUCGAGA